rnacentral:rRNA from 1 species
AGAGUUUGAUCCUGGCUCAGAACGAACGCUGGCGGCAGGCCUAACACAUGCAAGUCGAGCGCCCCAGCGAUGGGGAGCGGCGGACGGGUGAGUAACGCGUGGGAACGUGCCUCUUGCUACGGAAUAGCCUCGGGAAACUGGGAGUAAUACCGUAUGUGCCCUACGGGGGAAAGAUUUAUCGGCAAGAGAUCGGCCCGCGUUGGAUUAGGUAGUUGGUGGGGUAAUGGCCUACCAAGCCGACGAUCCAUAGCUGGUUUGAGAGGAUGAUCAGCCACACUGGGACUGAGACACGGCCCAGACUCCUACGGGAGGCAGCAGUGGGGAAUCUUAGACAAUGGGCGCAAGCCUGAUCUAGCCAUGCCGCGUGAGCGAUGAAGGCCUUAGGGUUGUAAAGCUCUUUCAGUGGGGAAGAUAAUGACUGUACCCACAGAAGAAGCCCCGGCUAACUCCGUGCCAGCAGCCGCGGUAAU